UCCGAGUUGACCCCGGCAGUCUCCUACGAGUCCCCGGCACUACCCGCUGGCAACAUAGGACAAGGGUUGCGCUCGUUGCGGGACUUAACCCAACAUCUCACGACACGAGCUGACGACAACCAUGCACCACCUGUGCAGGGCCCUUGCGGACCUCCCAUCUCUGGGAGAUUUCCCUGCAUGUCAAGCCUUGGUAAGGUUCUUCGCGUUGCGUCGAAUUAAGCCAUAUGCUCCGCUGCUUGUGCGGGCCCCGUCAAUUCCUUUGAGUUUUAGCCUUGCGGCCGUACUCCCCAGGUGGAUUACUUAACGCUUUCGCUAAGACGCUGACUGUGUAUCGCCAACAUCGAGUAAUCAUCGUUUACAGCGUGGACUAC
rnacentral:misc_RNA from 1 species